rnacentral:lncRNA from 1 species
AUGUCUGAUUUCAUUUACAUUUACAGUGUGUGUAAAGACGAGAAUUUUAAACUCAACAUUAUUGGCACUAAAAAUGUGUCUGAUAAGGUAAAUGAUCUGUGUGAAUGCAUUGAUAAACUGGUAAAAAAUUCAAAAAGUUGCUGCGAAGGCCUUGAUUCGCGGAGACAAAGUCGGUCUCGAAGUUUUGAUUUUCGUCGGAAUGAAAGAAGUAAGAACCAAGUUAAAAGAUCUUCUUCCCUCUCGGAAUCUUGCAAUUGUGGAUGCCCAACUAUUUGCCCUGACCCAAAUGCCCAUCGUGGAAAUUCUAGCUCUGACCCUCAGAAACAUUGCGGAAGUUCCUGUGCUAACACUAAAGCAAGCAGUGGAAGUCCUUGCUCUGACGCAAAAACUAGUUGCAGAAAUUCUACUCUUGAUCCUUUACCUAAAGCUGGUUGUGGAAAUAAUGCUUGCCCUGAGCCCAAAGUUCGAUGUGGGAUCCUUUUUCGAUGCUGUCAUUUGAUCACAGGCUGUUUUAUCACUUCCAAUCAGACCAACUUCUGCAAAGAUGGGAUCUUCUCAACCUCAUUUCCAGUUACACAGCAAGGCAUCUCCGCUGGGUCAGAAAAACAACAACUGUUUUGCCAGGCACAGAAUCACCCACUAGUCACUGCAUCAAAUCAAGAAGGAGUUUACUCAAAAUGUUUGCUGAGAACUGAGCCAAUUGUUUAUUGCGCGUGUAACAGCGGAUCUUCUUGCCUCAACAAAAGAGUCAGUCAAGGGAAUCAGGGCUCAUGUAGACCUACUGAAAUUGCUCAGAAAGAUGGUGAAGGAGACAAACAACAUGAUGUUCCCACAUCUAGAAGAUCUCUAUUCGGGUUGUUCAGUGGCUCGCCAUCAAAGGAGAUUGCAAAACUCAAAGAGGAAAACAGAAUUACGCUUCCAAUCCAGCCUUGCCUUGGCCUUGAAGCUAACAGUAACGAAAUUCAUUCAAAGAAAAGCAAACCUGCUUGUUUUUCAUACAUGGUUCAGUGCUUGAUGCCUAUGUGUACGUUCCCUGAUAAUGAAGCCAACAAAUCUACAGAUAUUCCCUCUAAACCAAGUCUGCGAUCUCGUGGAAAAGAAUGCGAACCUGUCAAAUCAACGCAAAUUAAAGAUUCAAAAGCUCAUAGAUUGAAUGCUCUUAACAUAAGCCUACCAAGCAUUCAAAUAUGA